rnacentral:rRNA from 1 species
CGGGGGGGUAAGCGUUGUUCGGAAUUACUGGGCGUAAAGGGCUCGUAGGCGGCCAACUAAGUCGGACGUGAAAUCCCCCAGCUUAACUGGGGAACUGCGUCUGAUACUGGAUGGCUUGGAUUCGGGAGAGGAAUGCGGAAUUCCAGGUGUAGCGGUGAAAUGCGUAGAUAUCUGGAGGAACACCGGUGGCGAAGGCGGCAUUCUGGACCGACAUUGACGCUGAGGAGCGAAAGCCAGGGGAGCAAACGGGAUUAGAUACCCCGGUAGUCCUGGCCCUAAACGAUGAAUGCUUGGUGUGGCGGGUAUCGAUCCCUGCCGUGCCGAAGCUAACGCAUUAAGCAUUCCGCCUGGGGAGUACGGUCGCAAGGCUG